AACGCGAAGAACCUUACCAAGGCUUGACAUAUACGAGAACGGGCCAGAAAUGGUCAACUCUUUGGACACUCGUAUACAGGUGGUGCAUGGUUGUCGUCAGCUCGUGUCGUGAGAUGUUCGGUUAAGUCCGGCAACGAGCGCAACCCUCGCUCUAUGUUGCCAGCACGUUAUGGUGGGAACUCAUAGGAGACUGCCGGGGUCAACUCGGAGGAAGGUGGGGAUGACGUCAAAUCAUCAUGCCCCUUAUGUCUUGGGCUUCACGCAUGCUACAAUGGCCGGUACAAUGGGCUGCAAUACCGUAAGGUGGAGCGAAUCCCAAAAAGCCGGUCUCAGUUCGGAUUGAGGUCUGCAACUCGACCUCAUGAAGUCGGAGUCGCUAGUAAUCGCAGAUCAGCAACGCUGCGGUGAAUACGUUCCCGGGCCUUGUACACCACCG
rnacentral:rRNA from 1 species